GACGUAUCAUUUUAAUUUGCAGACUGUUUUUGCACCCAGUUGUUUCACUACUUCAAUGAAUAAAAUGAUUAUCUAAACUAAACUAAGCAACAAAGCGUAAAACAAUCAAUUGUAAGAAAACAAAGUUUUCAUUCCCUAGGUUUUAUUCAACAGACUAUAUUUAUCCAACUUUCAUUAUUGACAAACAGGAAUACGUUCCUUGAACGUUAUGUACAGCUUCUAUGUAUAGUGUAUCUCCCUGUUGAAGCUCCACAACAGCAGAUAUUGGAUACGUUGAGCUGUCUGAAUAUGAUGCAGAAUAAACAAUAAUUACACCGUUCUUGUUGAUGUUGAAACUACCAUGUAGUGUAUUUGUACGUAUAUAAGCUGAAAUAUAAUACAAGCCGGGAAUCUCACAUACAAAUUUACCACUUGAUUUGAAUGUACCAAGGUUAUCAAUUCCUACAUG
rnacentral:lncRNA from 1 species